rnacentral:rRNA from 1 species
CAGUCGCCGCGGGAAUACAGAGGGUGCGAGCGUUAAUCGGAUUUACUGGGCGUAAAGCGUGCGUAGGCGGCUUCUUAAGACGGAUGUGAAAUCCCUGAGCUUAACUUAGGAAUUGCAUUCGAUACUGGGAAGCUAGAGUAUGGGAGAGGAUGGUAGAAUUCCAGGUGUAGCGGUGAAAUGCGUAGAGAUCUGGAGGAAUACCGAUGGCGAAGGCAGCCAUCUGGCCUAAUACUGACGCUGAGGUACGAAAGCAUGGGGAGCAAACAGGAUUAGAUACCCCGGUAGUCCCUGUCUCUUAUAU